AGUCGAGCGAACGGACGAGAAGCUUGCUUCUCUGAUGUUAGCGGCGGACGGGUGAGUAACACGUGGAUAACCUACCUAUAAGACUGGGAUAACUUCGGGAAACCGGAGCUAAUACCGGAUAAUAUUUUGAACCGCAUGGUUCAAAAGUGAAAGACGGUCUUGCUGUCACUUAUAGAUGGAUCUGCGCUGCAUUAGCUAGUUUGGUAAGGUAACGGCUUACCAAGGCAACGAUGCAUAGCCGACCUGAGAGGGUGAUCGGCCACACUGGAACUGAGACACGGUCCAGACUCCUACGGGAGGCAGCAGUAGGGAAUCUUCCGCAAUGGGCGAAAGCCUGACGGAGCAACGCCGCGUGAGUGAUGAAGGUCUUCGGAUCGUAAAACUCUGUUAUUAGGGAAGAACAUAUGUGUAAGUAACUGUGCACAUCUUGACGGUACCUAAUCAGAAAGCCACGGCUAACUACGUGCCAGCAGCCGCGGUAAUACGUAGGUGGCAAGCGUUAUCCGGAAUUAUUGGGCGUAAAGCGCGCGUAGGCGGUUUUUUAAGUCUGAUGUGAAAGCCCACGGCUCAACCGUGGAGGGUCAUUGGAAACUGGAAAACUUGAGUGCAGAAGAGGAAAGUGGAAUUCCAUGUGUAGCGGUGAAAUGCGCAGAGAUAUGGAGGAACACCAGUGGCGAAGGCGACUUUCUGGUCUGUAACUGACGCUGAUGUGCGAAAGCGUGGGGAUC
rnacentral:rRNA from 1 species